rnacentral:rRNA from 1 species
GAACCACGUACCAAGGAGUCCAGCAUGUGCGCGAGUCAUUGGGACUCUGAUAAACCUAAAGGCGCAAUGAAAGUAAAGGUCCGCCUCGCGCGGACCGAGGGAGGAUGGGCCCGUCCCCGGACGGGCCCCGCACUCCCGGGGCGUCUCGUUCUCAUCGCGAGAAGAGGCGCACCCAGAGCGUACACGCUGGGACCCGAAAGAUGGUGAACUAUGCCUGGUCAGGACGAAGUCAGGGGAAACCCUGAUGGAGGUCCGUAGCGAUUCUGACGUGCAAAUCGAUCGUCGGAACUGGGUAUAGGGGCGAAAGACUAAUCGAACCUUCUAGUAGCUGG